AACAACUAUAGGGAAGCUACGAUGAACAACAAGUAAUGAGUGUGACUCAAUAAGUUACCCAAUCUCAUGGUGAACUCGAAGUUCACAAGCAUAACUCACGUGUAAGUCUCAUAAGGAAAGUCUCACUGAACUACUCCCGAGACCGCCUGCGGACAGCACACAGACCGUCCAGACAGCACACUGACUGUCCCUCUAGUGACCAACCUCCGGAGUGCACAGCUUGCGGGGAGCGACCCCUCCAAGCACAGACAGGCUAUGUGAGCAUGAUCAACUCACGAACAACAGCAACCUACCCUCUAAGGGUAAUCUCAUCAUGGAAUCAAGGUGUUCUUGUACCCAAUCUCAUAGGGUCUCAACUACACUAAGGUUCUCAUAUCAAAAUUAUCAAUAACCAUAUGUCCUUCAUCAUAGUUUUCUAUAACUAGAUGCCACUUGUCAUAGUUUUCUAAACUAGAUGCCACUCGUCAUUUAGACUCAUUUUCAACACUAGUUACAUCAUACUAGUUCUUUAAUCUCAUAAACAUUAACCAUUACAUAUAGGGUCUAGGUUUCCAUCAUGAAGUUUUCAUGCAUACGAGAUCAUGGAUCAAUCAACAAGAUAUAUAGCUACUAGCAUGCAAAUAUAAGCAACAAUAAUCAUCUUCUAACCCUAUAUGCAACAUGAAUAGGAUGCAAUUAGAUCAAUAAUAAACUUGAACAUAGAACGUAGCCCCGCGGCUUCGGGAAGGUCACCACCCACCUUGUGGUAGUGCCGAAAAGCCAAGAAACUCGACGUCGAAAUCCACGUGCGCCGCUUCAACACCUUGGGUCAAAACGAACCCUAGAGUGACCAAAUCGGCGAUAUCUCCGCGCUCGCUCGACGGAUAGACGAACCGUCUUCGCCUACGCGUUCGGGAGCAUAACAAUUAGGUUUCCGACCCAUCAAAAUAGAUCAAAACCCUAUAAUCCCAAAAACCCCAAAAUCCAACCCUAGGCUUAGGACCCAUGGGAAACCAUGGUUUCUAGCUUCAUUGUGAGCUAGAUCCAUGUCCUCUAAACUCAUUAGGUUCCAUUUGAACCAUUAAAAGUAACAAAAACCUCCCAAACCCUAGAAAUCACAAAUUAGGGUUGAGGCUUACCUCUAAGGUUUGCUCCAAAGCAAGCCCUAGCUUGAGGAAGAGGAGGGAGAGAAGCUUCUUCUUCUUCUCCUUGAUCUUCUCCUUCCUUUCCUUCUUCUCUUCUUCUUCUUUCUCUCCUUCUUUUCUUCUUCUCCUUCUUCUACGGUUAGAGAGAGAGAGAGCUAAGUGAGAGGGAGAGAGAGAGGCUAAGAGUGAGAGGGAGGCCGAGAGAGAGAGGUAUUAUAACCCUCUAAUGUAACAAAAUCCCAAAAAGCCCCUCUAUUUUCUAUUUUCCCAACUUGACCUGCAGUUUCAGGUCCCUUGUACCGGUACACGGAUUCUUGUACCGGUACAAGGCCUAGCAGACAGCCCAACUCGAGGCUCGGUUUCUCGGUUGCGCAGGGCUUGUACUGGUACAAGACCCCCUUGUACCGGUACAAGGUCUGGCAGCCACCAACCCGAGAGCUGCGAUGGUUGUAUCGGUACAACCAUCACUCUUGUACCAGUACAACAGCUCCAGAAUGCUGUUUUCACGUCUCUUCGGCUCUACUUCGCGCCAAUUGAUGUCAAAACCAUUCCAACACCUUUGGAACUCAUUUUAGCUCUUCCAAACUUGUUGGAAUACCGAAUGGAAUUUGUCCAAACCGUUCAAUUGCCUACUUUGGUCCAUUUGGCCAAAGUUAGCCAAAAUCUAUCGAGUUUUAAUAUCUCACAUUCUCCACCCCUUAAAAGGAGUUUCGUCCUCGAAACAACUUAACUCAUAACUCGAACAAAACUCUUACCUCAAUCCUCGAACAAGUGAGGAUGAUUCGCUUUCAUCUGGUCCUCAAGUUCCCAAGUGGCUUCGCGAUCGUCGUGAUUGCUCCACCGGACCUUAACAUAGGAAAUAUCUCGAUUCCUUAGCUUACGCACCUCUCGAGCCAAAAUCUUCAUCGGAAACUCUUCAUAGCUCAUAUCCUCUUGAAGCUCCGGCGGCUCAUAGACUAGAACAUGCUCGGGAUCAUGCAUGUACUUGCGAAGAUUAGAGACGUGGAAGACAUUGUGCACACCCGCAAGCUUUGGGGGCAAUGCAAGUCGGUAUGCCACCGCCACAAUUCGCUCUAAGAUCUCGUAGGGGCCAAUAUAACGAGGACUUAGCUUUCCUCGCACCCCAAACCUCUUCACGCCUCGCAUCGGCGAAACCUUCAAAAACACGCGGUCACCCACCGCGAACUCCAAAUCUCUACGGCGUUUAUCUGAAUAGCUUUUCUGUCGCGACUUCGCCGUGAGGAACCUUUUGCGAGCAAGGUGCACUUUCUCUUCCGCCUCCCGCAAAACAUCCGGACCGAACUCAACUCGCUCGCCUACGUCACUCCAAUAAAUGGGAGAUCGACACUUCCGCCCGUAGAGAGCCUCGAACGGUGCCAUUCCCACGCUAGCAUGAUAACUGUUAUUGUAGGCGAACUCGGCCAUCGGCAGAUGCUUACACCAACCGCCCUUGUAGUCAAUAACACAUGCUCGCAGCAUAUCCUCCAGAGUCUGAAUAGUCCUCUCAGUCUGCCCAUCUGUCUGGGGAUGGAAUGCAGUGCUAAACUCGAGAUGCGUGCUAAGGGCAUCCUGCAGGCUCCUCCAGAAAUGUGAGGUAAACUUGGUCUCGAUCUGAUACAAUCGACUUUGGUACCCCGUGAAGCCUCACUAUCUCAUCAAGAUAUACCUGAGCCAAUCUCUCGCCUGCCCAAGUGCCAUGGAUCGGUAUGAAAUGUGCCGACUUCGUCAAGCGAUCCACAAUCACCCAAAUUGCAUCGUGGCAAGCCAACUCGUGGAACAUCUUGGUGCCGCCCGGGUGAUCAGCAUAAGGAGACCAAUAUGACUCAUGCAAUACAAGCUUGCGAAGCUCCUCGUUCGCAGGUACACACCACCGGUUCUUAAACCGAAGUGCACCAUCAGCAUCCAUAGCGAAGUCUCCACCUCGGCCAUCCACUAUGCUCUGCCGCACCUUUUGGAGAAACGGGUCCGCCAGCUGCAGACUUUUAAUCUUGUCCAAUAGGAUAGGCUGGACCACAAGUGCCAACAACAUCGCCAGAACCUCGGGAGCUACAACCUCAAGAUUCAUCCUCCCCAUUUGCAACUGUAGGGGCGUCUGAUCGGUAACACAUAAAGCUAGGUUUUCAACAGACUUCCGGCUAAGCGCAUCGGCGACUACAUUCGCCUUCCCGGGGUGGUAGAGAAUAUCAACAUCGCAAUCCUUAAGCAACUACAACCACCGCCGCUGUCGCAGAUUCAGCUCCUUCUUGGUGAACAAAUAUUUUAAGCUUUUGUGGUCGGUGUAGAUCUCGCAAUGAGCACCAUAAAGAUAAUGCCUCCAGAGCUUCAAGGCAAAGAUCACCUCCGCCAACUCUAAAUCGUGAAUGGGGUAGUUCUUUUCAUAGCUCUUUAGCUGACGGGAUGCAUAGGCAAUAACCUUCCCGCCCUGCAUCAACACACACCCCAAGCCCAGAUAAGAAGCAUCGCUAUAAACGACGUAGUCCUGCCCCUGCACCGGUAAGGCGAGCACCGGAGUCGAAGUUAACCUUUGCUUUAACUCUUUAAAACUCUGGUCGCACUCGUCGCUCCAAACGAACUUGGUGCCCUUCUGCGUCAGACGGGUAAGAGGUGUCAUAAUCUCAGAGAACCCCUCCACGAACCGUCGAUAAUAACCUGCUAGGCCCACAAAGCUACGGACCUCAGCUACACUCGUCGGGCGCGGCCAAUUCUCAAUAGCUUCAACUUUCCUCGGGUCAACUGAAACACCACCCUCGAAAAUAACAUGCCCGAGAAAUGCAACCUCCCUGAGCCAGAAGUCGCACUUCUUUAGCUUUGCGUACAACUUCUUCUCCCGAAGAAUCUGAAGUACUGUGCGCAAAUGCUCCGCGUGUUCCUCGUUGCUACACGAAUAUACCAAAAUGUCGUCUAGGAAGACUACGACAAAUCGGUCCAAGCACUCCUGGAACACUCAGUUCAUCAAGCUCAUGAAUGCUGCUGGGGCAUUUGUGAGCCCAAACGGCAUCACCGUGAACUCAUAGUGUCCAUAACACGUGCGAAACGCCGUCUUCUCAAUAUCUUCCGGCUUGAUCUUUAACUGAUGGUAGCCGUGUUAGAUGUAUGCCCUAGAAGCCAACAAGGCCGACACAUGUAUUCUUUCUAGGACAUAAUUUUGUAUUUGAUUUUAAAAUAUUAUGAAUAACUUUGGGUUUUUAUUUCCAUUCAUGUUGUGUAUGUGUCCAUGAAUCGUCCAAGGAAUUAAUAAGAUGAUGACAUAUAUUUUCAAGUGUUGAGAAUUUGAGACAUGUGUCAUUGGUGAUUAAUUCCUAAAUGCUCCCGAUCAAUGGAUCAUCACGGGGACGGUGAUUGAUCCAGUGAGAUUGGUGCAUAGGUCGCUUCCCUUUUGGGUAGACGAGUCUCGAGUCGACAGUGUGGGGACACUGAAGCGAAUAUGCAGGUGGUUGUUAGAGAACAAGGGUACCGAGCGUGACCAACGCGAGAAGUCACUUGGAUGUCUACUCACUCGUCAGUGACUUACUCAAUUGUUGCAGUAGUGUGACUGGUCCUUUGACCUGCGGUGCCUCGGCUAUUCACAAUGAGGUUACUGUAGUUUGACUGUACAUACACUUGGUCCCUAGCCAUUCGGGUCCUUGCGGUGCAUGUUGGCUGCAGUAGGUUCAUUGUAGGAAUAGGGUGCGCACUUAGAUGGAAUCUAUCUCCCUUGGUAGAUAGGGGUGUUAGUCCUAUGUGAUUUAUGAGACCGAGUUUAGAAGACCUUGGCCAGGGCAGAAUAAAUAGCGGAAAAGGGUUUCCGAUAUUAGAAACUCGAGUCGAAUAAAUUUAACAUAUGACAGACGAUGGGGUUUGACGAGUUAUUCCAUAACCUCCGUCUAGUCGGGACUCAUGAUAGAAGGAUUGUAUCACACGGUAACUGCACCAAGAGGUUCAUUAUUCCAUUCUACUGGAAUGCCACUACAUGCUGCUAGGCGUCACUGGUGGAUUGUGAGACUCAUGAGAAUUAUCUAGAUGAUCGAUAAUUCUCAUUGGGCUGAGUUGGAAUUGUUCUAAUCCAUUGAAAGGAGUUUCAGUGAUAUUGUUGAUAGUGAUCAAAAUAUAUCUCACUACCAGAUAGAAUAGAACCUAUGGGGUCACACACAUAAGAGGUUGUGAUUGAUCGGAUAGCUAGAUCACGAUUAUUGAAUCGCCGGAGGACCUAAUUAUCAAUUUAAUGAUAAUUAGACUAAUUUGUAAUUGUUACAAAUUAGUGGUAUUAAGGUGUAAAUGUUACAAGAGAGGACUUACUAAUAGUUAGUAAAUUAUAAGAGGACUUAUGUGCAAGUGUUGUAUUAUUAAUUUGAUAAGAUUAAAUUAAUAUAAAAUUCAAAUCGAAUCAAAUUAGGAUUUGAUCGAUGUAACCAAUUAAGGAAAAGAUAAAUUUAAAUAUAGAUUUAUACUUAUCCUUAAUUGUCAUUAUAUUAUUAGGAAUAGGAUUAUAUUCCUAUAUAUAAUAUACGGGAGUUUUUAGAAAACCCUAGCCCGUCAUAUCUCUUCUCCUCUCUUCCAUCUUCUAGCAAAUAGACGUCCUUUUGCAAGGGAGCUAGCACCCCGGUGAGGACAUCGAUCAAAUCAAGAACCUCGUGUGGAUACCUAUAGAGGCCGGACGCGUGUGCGGCUUCAAGAGAACCCGAUUCCACGAUCAUCAAAUUGAGGCAAGGAUUUAUCCGCGAAAAAGGUAAAGAUUCGAUCUUACUUUUCUCCUUUAAUCUUAAAGAACAUGAGGGAUCCUAAUUGCGUGGUUUUGAGAUUAGAUCUCGAGAGUUUUUCAAAAUCAAAUCUGUUUGAUUUCUUUUUCCGCUGCGUUUUACCGUACGCAAUUUUCUAACAAGCCGGACUGAAGGUCAAUCGUAGAAUACACUCGCGACCCCUGCAGCUGAUCAAACAGGUCGUCGAUACGGGGUAGCGGGUACCUGUUCUUCACCGUGACCUUGUUCAACUCGCAGUAAUCUACGCAGAGUCGAAAAGAUCCUUCCUUCUUUCGCACGAACAAUACCGGGGCACCCCACGGCGAAACGCUCGACCUAAUGAAUUCCUUGUCGAGAAGAUCCUGUAAUUGAUCUCUCAACUCUCUCAGCUUGGCCGACGCCAUGCGAUAUGGGGCCUUAGAAAUCGGUGCUGUCCCGGGAACCAAGUCAAUCAUGAACUCGAUCUCCCGGUCCGGCGGCAUACCCGGUAACUCUACGGGAAACACGUCGGGGAACUCCCACACAACCGCCAACUCUUCGAGGGUCGGAACCACUCGAUCAAUCUCCACAACGGUCGCCAAAAAGGCUGCGCAACCGCUGUUCACCAACUUCCUCGCUCUAGUCGCCGAUACCGUCGCGACGAAACACGAGCUCUUGCAAGCUCGGUAGGUGAACUCAACCUGACCCGGCUCUCGAAAUGUGAUAACACGAGUCGGGCAAUCGAUCGAUACAUAGUACUUCGAGAGCCAAUCCAUGCCCAAAAUUAUAUCGGACUCCUUCAACCUUUCGAGCACCAACAAGUCGAUCGGCAUAAUCCAGUCAUUCACUUGCACUGGACAUGCCAAACAUCGCUCCCUAACCAUAAAGGAUCGCCCGGGGCCCUCAACAUGCCACACGUGCUCCCCCAGACGAUACUCGAUAUCGUGUGCUUGUGCGAAUGAUCGACUAAUAAAGGAGUGUGAUGCGCUGGUAUCAAACAAAGCUCUAGCUCGAACACCUUUAACCAAAAUUAUACCUGCCACAACGUUGCGCUCGCCGGCCUCAAAAGGUUCCUCAACAUGCACGGGUGCAGCAUACAUCCUCCCGCUCGGCGCUGAUCGUGUAGGCUCUGGUUGGCGUGGCGCCGCCGCUCGCCCAGUAGAUGCCGCAGGAGGGGGCAAGGCAUAGUGAGCUGGAACCGCCGGGGCCGAUGCAGUUAACAUAGCGGGCGAAGCUCCUCCUUGAGGACUAUCGCGGAUGACAUGUCCCGCUUGCCCGCACUUGAAGCACCUCCCUCGGCGCUGCUCACAAACACCCGGCCGGUGGUCUCCACCACAGAAGACACAUCGCUGAGCACCACGACCCUUGGGCUGAGAGCGUGGAUACUUUCGGGGCCUCUUAGAGCUAGACUGACCGCCCGAACCACUGCCCUGUCUCUUCUUACCCUUGUCCUUGUCGAGCGCCUCACGGUCCUCACACUCGCAAGUGUUCCCGUGCUCAACCCAUAGUGCGCGGUCUAAAGCCUCCGCCAAAGAGUGGAACUUGAAGGCAUGCACCAAUCUGAAAACUCCGGGCCAUAGUCCCCGAACAAAACAAUCCGCCCGGUCCUGCUCUGUCGCCGCCACGUCCGGGACGCAGCUCAGGAGAUGGGUGAACUCCCGCUCGUACUCCCGAACUGUGCUGUUGCCUUGCUUGAGCUUGCGAAAAUCUUCUCGCAUCUUCCUCUUGUCACUGUCGGGGAAGUACUCGGUGAACAUCAGCUUGCGGAACUCCGCCGAAUCGAACGGGGGAAGCUCCGGGGAUCGGUCCUAUUUGACCCUCCUCCACCAAGUCCUGGCCCGCUUCUCGAAGCAAUGCGCGGCCAAGUUCACCUUGUCCUUCUCCAAGGUGAAGAUGUCCUCAAAUAGAGUCUCCAUAACUGUCAGCCAAGACUCCACCGUCGCUGGAUCCACCACCUCUCCGUCGAAAGUAGGCGGGUGAAACUUCGUGAACCUCGUGAGCGCCACGUAACCGCGCUCAUGCUCCGCCUCCUCAGCCGCCACCACGGGUGUAGGAGAACUUGAACUCGCCGGAGGAAUAUCCACCGGUGGGGGUUGCGCCGCCACCGGAACCGAUAUGCUGCCGACACCCUCGGCCAUAUCAGGGGUAUGAACCGAAGGUGCAGGGGGACCGCGGCCUACUUCUGCCGCCGCCACAGCCUGCUGCUCCAGCAGCUCCUGGAUCCUAUCGAACCGUCCAGUGAGCGCCGCAACCUGCGCUCGCAGCUCCUGCACCUCAGUAGGCCCAGCUGGCCCUGGCGCCAUUGAAGGCACGGCUGGCCCGGGCACCUCUCGAGGUGGUGCCUGAGCGGUCCUACGCACAUAGCGUCUCUUUGGUGCCAUAGCUCCUGAAACGCAACAGUUGGUUAAUUACUUAACCCAACAACAACGUCAUAAUAGCGAAACAUAACGAUUAAACAACAUCAAUCAGGCGGUAGCUUGCAAGUGUCUUAAUUCUCGACUUUCGGCAUCGUGUUGUCGGCAGCCAACAUAAUCACCUUAAGCCAAAAAUUAAUACCACUUGGAUCAUCUCUAGCCAUAACUAGAGUAACAAUACCAACUCCAAACCCAAUCAAUUAGCUUCCGCCGCGUCAUAGGUUCACGUCGCACUCACGCACCUAUAACCUUAGGGUUAACCAACCUAGGGUCUCCUAGGUCAUCAUAGACUCUCUCCUUUGCUUGCUCUUAACUCGCUCUGAUACCACAACUGUCACGCCCCGACCGCACGACCUGAAAACGGUACCUAUUUGGUCCGGUUCGAGGGCGGCGGCGUGAGGCCGAACGGACAGAGUCUCCCCUAUCCGCCCAAGGCUAACCAACGAGAUUGUGUACAACAAGUCCCCAGGAAAAACAACUUGAUUUCAUACACAAUCAAACAACGAUAACACAAAAAGUGUUAAAACCAUCGAGAGCAAGCGAUACUAGUAAAAGCAUACAAGUAUACAAAAGAGAGAAACAUAACUAUUUGAACCAUGAAAUCUAAAGCAUUAAAUACAACUUGCAUUCAACUUCAUACAUUGUUUUUCAAUCUUUUCCAAAAUGUAAAUACAUCAAGUACUCUCCAAAACCUCACCCUAUACAACAUCUACUCUCAAAAUAUGAAGACAGGGUGGAGCUAAUGAAAGUAGAAAGUAAGCUAUUAAUUGAUACAGCUAGGGCGCCAAGCCCUUGCCGCGAUCCUCUCGCUCGGUCGGGGCACUCGAACUAGCACCUGCAACAACGGGUGUGAGAACUACGAAUAGUUCCCAGUGGGUUCGGCCGCCGACUCCACCGAUCUACCCACUAGAUCGAAGCAGGCAUAGAGAGAUAUAUAUGCAAUAUAUAUGUAAAGCUAAACUGGCAAAAAGCAGGUAUGAUAACUGAGCAAGUAAGGAACAUGAGCAACUAGGUAGAAUCAUGAAUAUCUAGCUAUGCUUCAAUCUGAUAUCAUGCAUGCAUGAACAAUAAAUAAAGCUGGGUAGUAAGCUACUAUGAACAACAACAAUAAGUAAGCUAUCAUGAACAACUAUAGGGAAGCUACGAUGAACAACAAGUAAUGAGUGUGACUCAAUAAGUUAUCCAAUCUCAUGGUGAACUCGAAGUUCACAAGCAUAACUCACGUGCAAGUCUCAUAAGGAAAGUCUCACUGAACUACUCCCGAGACCACCUGCGGACAGCACACAAACCGUCCAGACAGCACAUUGACUGUCCCUCUAGUGACCAACCUCCGGAGUGCAUAGCUUGCGGGGAGCGAGCCCUCCAAGCGCAGACAGGAUAUGUGAGCACGAUCAACUCACGAACAACAGCAACCUACCCUCUAAGGGUAAUCUCAUCAUGGAAUUAAG
rnacentral:lncRNA from 1 species